rnacentral:rRNA from 1 species
UUGGAGGGCAAGUCUGGUGCCAGCAGCCGCGGUAAUUCCAGCUCCAAUAGCGUAUAUUAAAGUUGUUGCAGUUAAAAAGCUCGUAGUUGAAUUUCGGGAUCAAAUUGUCGGUCGUGCCUCGGUACGCACUGGUAUUAUUGGUUCCUACCUUCCGAAGAACCGCGAUGUCAUUAAUUUGGUGUCGUGGGGAAUCAGGACUGUUACUUUGAAAAAAUUAGAGUGUUUAAAGCAGGCUUACGCUUGAAUACAUUAGCAUGGAAUAAUGAAAUAGGACGUUUGAUUCUAUUUUGUUGGUUUCUAGGAUUGACGUAAUAAUUAAUAGGGAUAGUUGGGGGCAUUAGUAUUCAAUUGUCAGAGGUGAAAUUCUUGGAUUUAUUGAAGACUAACUACUGCGAAAGCAUUUGCCAAGGAUGUUUCCAUUAAUCAAGAACGAAAGUUAGGGGAUCGAAGACGAUCAGAUACCGUCGUAGUCUUAACCAUAAACUAUGCCGACUAGGGAUCGGAUGAUGUUAAUUUUUUAAUGACACAUUCGGCGCCUUACGGGAAACCAAAGUGUUUGGGUUC